CCUACGGGCGGCUGCAGUGAGGAAUAUUGGUCAAUGGACGUAAGUCUGAACCAGCCAUGCAGCGUGCAGGAUGACGGCCCUAUGAGUUGUAAACUGCUUUUAUACGGGGGUAAACCUGAAUACGUGUAUUCCGCUGAAAGUACUGUACGAAUAAGGAUCGGCUAACUCCGUGCCAGCAGCCGCGGUAAUACGGAGGAUCCAAGCGUUAUCCGGAUUUAUUGGGUUUAAAGGGUGCGUAGGCGGAUUGAUAAGUUAGAGGUGAAAUGUCGGAGCUUAACUCGGGAACUGCCUCGAAUACUGUUGAGCUAGAGAGUAGAUGCGGUAGGCGGAAUGUAUGGUGUAGCGGUGAAAUGCUUAGAGAUCAUACAGAACACCGAUUGCGAAGGCAGCAUACGAAGGUAUAUCUGACGUUGAGGCACGAAAGCGUGGGGAGCAAACAGGAUUAGAUACCCUAGUAGUC
rnacentral:rRNA from 1 species